rnacentral:rRNA from 1 species
UGUAAGCGUAUACCAAAGUUGUUGCAGUUAAAACGCUCGUAGUCGGAAUUUGGCAGUUCCGGAUGUGUGCACGUCGUGUGCGCACUUCGCGGGGAUUGCUUUUGUGGUCUUGCGUAGGAUGAGGCACUUUUAUUAGUGAACGUCCUCACGCAACCACUUUUUACUGUGAGAAAAUCAGAGUGCUCAAAGCAGGCAUUUGCCGUGAAUGUAUUAGCAUGGAAUAAUAGAAUAGGACUUGGUUCUAUUUUGUUGGUUUGUUGGGACUGAGUAAUGAUUAAGAGGGACAGUUGGCGGCAUUUGUAUUUCGGUGCUAGAGGUGAAAUUCUUAGAUUACCGAAAGACAAACUGCUGCGAAAGCGUCUGCCAAGGAUGUUUUCAUUGA